rnacentral:rRNA from 1 species
GGAGGGUGCAAGCGUUGUUCGGAAUUAUUGGGCGUAAAGAGCGUGUAGGCGGUCCGGUAAGUCAGAUGUGAAAGCCCUGGGCUCAACCCAGGAAGUGCAUUUGAAACUACCAGACUUGAGUACGGGAGAGGAGGGGGGAAUUCCCGGUGUAGAGGUGAAAUUCGUAGAUAUCGGGAGGAAUACCAGUGGCGAAGGCGCCCUCUGGACCGAUACUGACGCUGAGACGCGAAAGCGUGGGGAGCAAACAGGAUUAGAUACCCUGGUAGUCCACGCCGUAAACGAUGAGCACUAGGUGUAGCGGGUAUUGAUCCCCUGCUGUGCCGUAGCUAACGCAUUAAGUGCUCCGCCUGGGGACUACGGUCGCAAGACUA